rnacentral:rRNA from 1 species
UACGUAGGGGGGCUAGCGUUGUCCGGAAUCAUUGGGCGUAAAGCGCGUGUAGGCGGUCCGGUAAGUCCGCUGUGAAAGUCGGGGGGCUCAACCCUCGAAUGCCGGUGGAUACUGUCGGGCUAGAGUGCGGAAGAGGCGAGUGGAAUUCCUGGUGUAGCGGUGAAAUGCGCAGAUAUCAGGAGGAACACCAUUGACGUGAA